AAGGCAGAGACGAACAUUUUACAUUCAGUCUCAGAAGACAAAGGUGCAGCCCAACCCUCCACUGUACAGCUCUCAGGACCAGAGCCUGUCUUCUCCAGACUACAAGAUGAGAACUGCAGUAUGUGCCAUCCUUCUCCUGAUGCUUCUGUGUCAAGGAGAAGCUCUGAGAUGCAACACCUGCUGGGGGCGUGGGAGCAGAAUGUGCAAACCUACUGGGAUACAAGUCUGUGGGGGAAGAGAUGUUGUAUGUGCUGCCGUC